UUCCUUGUUAGCCUUCAUCAUUCAUCACAACAUACAGUCACAGCGUGCGCACUCCUAAAUUUUCAUAAAAAAUAUAAAUACAAACUGUUAUGGUGUGGUUAUUGAUGGUAUAUCAACAGUCUUUGACUAAAACCGUCCUUUCUGAUUGAGAUAAGUGUUCAUUGUGACAACUGCGUGGGCUUUAGAUGACCAACAGCUUCUGAAUUGUGUGCGAUAAAUUCCCAGUUUUUAUCAGUGUAGUUUUCUGCGUUUGAAGAGAGAUGUACAGCUGUUUGUGGUUAAAAAAAAAAAAAAUCACCUUCUCUCCUGGGGAUCCUUCCUGUAAUUGUGCUGUGUCCGUUGCAGUCUGUCUUAAAGCUUUAGGGCUGUAGUCUGAGUUGGUGGCAGGUUCUUCUUAGUUGGUCUUAAGUGAGUGUAAGAAAUUCCUAAAGUACAUGCAGAUACCAUCUGUCUGUUCUGUUUCUGUUUCUUUUUUUGCACUUUCGGCACGUGUUAAAAUAUCAGUGCAAUUUCUCUUUCAUCUGUGCUAAAAAAAAAAAUCCCCUUGCGUACAGAGUGUGACGGUGUCAGAUGAAGAUUUGACACUUUGUUUCCACAGAUGGACUCUUCAUGACACACUGACUGCAUGUUUGUGCUAAUGAAAACACACUGAGCUGUUCACCUGUGUCCUGGUUAACGCUCCCUGAUGCUGUGAGCCACACCAGCAGCUCUAUCAGAUACAGAGGCUCAGCUCACCCUCAGAGACCUCCACCUCUUCCUCAGCAGGAGGAAGACUUUUGCAGAGAGCAUGAGUGAACGGGGAGAAAGGAUUACCUUUUUCCUACGCCCUUACACCGUGGAGCUGACACCAAAGCUAUGGACGUGUGACGCCCAGGGCUGUCCUCAUGUUCUCAGAGAACUCCCUUUAAACCCCAGUCACCUGAACGAAUCAGAGCAGGGAUGCAAUAUGUGAAAGAGGAUGAUUAGUGUCAGCGUGACCUCCUCCAUCCUCAGGCAGAGACCUCGGCUCCAGGAUGCAGCUCUAAAAUUAUUACAGCUUCCUCAAAGAAAUUAAACCCGCAGAGAGAUGGAGGGUCACCACAUUUACAGCCAGGGCUGCAGCGGCAUGACAAAAACAUGGCAAUCAUUUCACAGACAGAAAAAUAACACUCCUGUUUUCAUCCUGCUGCUGUAAAGCCUUUUUAUAACUCACACUGAGGGGUCUUUACUAUUCCUCACAGCUUCAUCCAAACAAAAGACCACAGUGCGGUAAGUGCAGGACUGGCCAUACCUAACAUACUGGGUACUGUUGAAUCAGUGCACUUUUGAGAGUCCAGUCAAAUAUGAUUUAUCCUGAAAACAGCAAACACAAAUGACCAGCCUAAUAAGCAGGAGCAGCAGCCAAGUGAUUAUUUCCUUGAUGAUAAUGAGCUGGUCUAAUCACUUCAUUCACAGCGCCGUCUCCAUCCUCUUCUUUAUCCUUUGCCUCUAAGAUCAUGAAAGUUUCUGCAUAAAGUCAAACAUCAAAAUCAUCAAUCAGCAAUGGUUAUAAAAGUCAUGGAGAGUGGAGAAGUUGCAAGAUGUGGAUAGCACCAUCAGGGGGAGGAGUAACUUAUGCCUUCUAUACACUUGCGGCCUGAAAUACUAAAGCUUUGCGUGUGCAAAAAAAUGUGCAAAUUUGAUAGCACGCAAAAAGCUGAUCUACUAACCUGGAUUGCGUCUGUGAAGCGCACAAUCCAUUUAGCGUGUUUGCCUUAACAAUUAUGUAGCUUGUAUGUAGAUCAGCAGACUGUGCAAAAUUCUGGGAGGAGCAGAUGCAGUCAUUGUGGGGUGAAGGAGGCGAAAAUGCAAAAGCGUUUUUCUAAAUGACUGUCUCGAUAAAUAACAAGGUCAAACACGGAUCUCUUUUUUUUAUUUCAAAAUAUUUUCUUGCAUCUGUAAAGCACUUUGAAUUGCCUUGUGUAAAAAUGCUGCUAUGCAAAUAAACUUCCCUUAUCUUUUAUGCAGUUGCUGGCUUCCCCAAAACGAUAUGUGCAACUCCAUGGCAUCAAACUUCAUUUUUCAUCUACGAUCACUCUGCUCUCACCAACUCUCCACUGUGACGGCAAAUAGCGCACACAAAAUCCUUGUUUAAAGAGGGUGGUCCGCACCACUUUUACUCCUGUUAUCAAUUGCACACGCAAUGUUAGUAGAUCACCUGCAACACGCCCACUAAUAGGAUGUGCAAUUUUUUAGUUUGCACACGCAAUUUAGUGUUCGCUAUUUGGGAUCUGAGUAGAUCAGGCCCUUACAGUAGAUAUGUGUCUGUAGAUCCCUGAGGAAGCAGACAGUACCUUUCGCGUCCAACGCAAGAAAGUGCAUUUCUUAAAUGAUAGAAAGAAACCGUAGAAUCUAUCUCGGGAAUUGGAGGAGAGUCUCAUUCAGCAGUUAACUAAUGAAUUUGAGUGUAAACUGGUGAACAUAAUAUGAAUGUAUCAAAUGCAUAACCCCAUUUCAACAGAAUAACAUCACUUCAGUUGAUCAUGUAAUGAAACUUCCUAAAUACACCCUCGGUAAUCACAUUAACUCACUCAACAUUCAACAUGACAUCGACUGGAACAAAGGAAACAGCCUCAUAAAGGGAUAUUCCGGCGUAAAAUUAAUUCAGGGUUAAACACACCAUAACACCGAGUUAGACACCCCCUCAGGAGAAUCAUGUUGCCAACUGCUUGCUUCUCUAGUUGUACCAACUUUAGAAAUGACCACACAAUAGCAAUACACAGCAGUCUACCACUCUGCACCCAGUAUUUUUCCUAUCAUGACUGUGAUGUUGACAAAUGGGAGCACAGAGCACUUUCAAAACGUGCAAAAUUCACAAACAAACUUGUACCACGACAGAGGAAUGAUGAAGUUAAUGCUGUGGGAUAAAAUAUAUGAAACACAGGAGAAGUUUAUGGAGCUCUGGCAACAUCCCUGAGUGACUCUCAGCACCUGUAUGAGGUGAUCUCCAGGUCAGUGUUUGGACCCUCAGUUCUGAUGCUCCAGUCAGGGUGAAGGUUCAGUCUGCAGGUGCAGCUCAAGCAGGUACUUUAAUUAUUCCUUUAGCUGGUGGCUUUUCAAACUAACUUUAAUUGCUUUGAUAUGUGGUGACUUCAAUGAUCACAGCGUAUGAUUACUGUGCUGAGUUAUGUGUGUCUCUGUAGACUACUGUCUGCUAAGUAAACUGCCCCACAGGGACAUUAAAUUGAACUCUUGGGAUGUGUCCACAAGGGACGACCACAAUAGACUCCACAUCACACAGGGAAUAUCAUAUUAACGGCUU